GACGAACGCUGGCGGCGUGCUAAACACAUGCAAGUCGAACAGUAAGGCCCUUCGGGGUACACGAGUGGCGAACGGGUGAGUAACACGUGGGUGAUCUGCCCUGCACUUCGGGAUAAGCCUGGGAAACUGGGUCUAAUACCGGAUAGGACUCCUGGCUUCAUGGUUGGGGGUGGAAAGCUUUUGCGGUGUGGGAUGGGCCCGCGGCCUAUCAGCUUGUUGGUGGGGUAAUGGCCUACCAAGGCGACGACGGGUAGCCGGCCUGGGAGGGUGACCGGUCACAAUGGGACUGAGAUACGGCCCAGAGUCCUACGGGAGGCAGCAGUGGGGAAUAUUGCACAAUGGGCGCAAGCCUGAUGCAGCGACGCCGCGUGAGGGAUGACGGCCUUCGGGUUGUAAACCUCUUUCAGCUAUGACGAAGCGCAAGUGACGGUAGUAGCAGAAGAAGGACCGGCCAACUACAUGCCAGCAGCCGCGGUAA
rnacentral:rRNA from 1 species